UACGUAGGGUGCGAGCGUUAAUCGGAAUUACUGGGCGUAAAGCGUGCGCAGGCGGUUUGCUGUGUCCGCUGUGAAAGCCCCGGGCUUAACCUGGGAAUGGCAUUGGAAACUGGCGGGCUUGAGUGCGGCAGAGGGGGGUGGAAUUCCGCGUGUAGCAGUGAAAUGCGUAGAGAUGCGGAGGAACACCGAUGGCGAAGGCAGCCCCCUGGGUCGACACUGACGCUCAGGCACGAAAGCGUGGGGAGCAAACAGG
rnacentral:rRNA from 1 species